rnacentral:tRNA from 1 species
GCCGCUUUAGUUUAAUGGUAAAACAAGUCACUCGUAAUGAUUAGCUGUAAGUUCGAUUCUUACAAGCGGCA